GGUGGAGGUACUGAGACCAGAUUGGUAACCCAGACCAACCUCGGACUUGCUACAUAGCUAAGGUUAGCCUGGAACGUCUGGUCUUGCCACUUCCGCCUUAUGCGUAUCCAACUACAGGCAUGUACCACUUCACCCAGCAAGAGCUUGACUGUCUUAUCUAGAUAGUGGUAUGGAGUGAUAUCAAAGAUGAUGGUCAGAUGAGAGAUAACUGUGAAGAGAAUGUGUGACAUCAGUCCACAGCAGCUCAGUUAAAUAUAUAUAAACAUGCAUUUACGGCUAGACAUCUAACCGUUCGCUGUAACUCAGUGACUCGGAACCUGGGCUCUGAAGUCAGGCUAUUCUAAUUCUAUUAGCAUUGUAACUUGACUCUUGCUAUGUCAUGCAUUCUUUCUGUGUAGAUCGCAAAUACUCAGUGCAGGCCAUAGCAAAGCCUAAGUGAGAAUAAUACAGGCAGGCGCUCAGGAUGGCAUCGGAACACGACAAACCCUCUGCAAAUGUAAACGGUUCCUGCCCUGAGUCCCUCAGUGAUGGACUGGAAGUGUGAGAUGAAUCAGCCUGUUCUUAGACAAGCUGCUUUUUGUCAGGGUUUGAUCAUAGCAACAGAGAGGAAUUGGAGCACAGACACUCUCAAACAACGGAGACUUCACAGGAAAUCUAUUCCUCUGUUCAGAUUUGAGAUAAAUCAGCCUUUCACCUUGACUCUCCUUUGUGGCAGGAACUCAUCCAUGAAGCUGAUCGCUUUUCUAUCCUAGGCUGGGUCAUCAUCAACUCAUAUUUAGCAGGCGUGUGCAUCUGAACUCCCCUCAUGUUACAAGCAAUGGAGGUUAAAUCUAUGAAGAUGUGCUCAGCCAUCCGACUGAGAGAACAAUCUAAGAAAAGGAGGUGAGGAUGGCUAGGGUGAAGCCAGCCAAGGCGUGUGGAGUUUCUGAAGGUUGUUUAUUUUGUGCCUGUAAUCCCCUACCAUGCUGUUGCCCAAUAAUUAUUUUAGGUUUCGUGACUUUCAACCUAACCUCUGUGCCCAACAGAGAGAAUCUAUCCCAAGGUGUUGACAUGAUUUCUCAGUAGCUGUUACAAAAGCACCUUUGACUGCUUCUCCACAUUGACAUGUUCAAAUUAUCAAGAGAACUGGCCUUGAGGAAUUCCCAAGACCCCACCACCACCACACACACAAACACCUAAUGGAAUGAGUCCACUGUCCAACUCUAAGGACUAACUCAAGAGAUGAAGGCUGGACGUGGAAUAGUGGCUAUAAACACUAGCCCAGUAGGCAAAAACUCAUCUUAGCAUAAUCUAGAAAGAACUAAAGAUGGUACAACCCACCACCAUGUACUGAUGCCUGACCUCUGUGGAGUGCUUGGUUCCCCACCUCACUAUACACCUAUCAACCCUAAAAAGACGGUAUUAUAGUGCAAUGGUGAGUGUUAUCAACAUCACAGAAUCUAGAAUCACACUGAAGCAGGAAGCUGUGGAAGAUUAUAGAUUAUAUUGAUUGUGGUAAUUAAUAUAGGAAGACUCAUUAUAAUUGUGGAUGAGCCCAAUCCCUGGGGUCCUUUUUGUUCUGUUGGGUCAGCCAAGCUGCAGUUCAUUCUGAGACUUGUAGCAGAUGGAGCCAUCUCUCUAACCCAGGAACUUCUAGAGAGGCCAUUGGGAGUUUGAGUUCUUAUCAGAUGACAUUCUUGAGGCAUGGGUCCCAAGGCUCCCCAGGCAACUGGACUUUGAAGCCUUGACCCUAACAAAAUCCUGAACAAAAGAGGGAAAGCCAAUUGAAUACGCGAAUUCAUUGCCCUCUGCUUCUUGAUUGCAACUGAGAUGCAAUCAGCCACCACCUUAAGUUCCUGAAGCUGAGUCAGGAGAGUCAGACCCAUCAUAAAGGACUCCAACCUUGAGCCAUAAGCCAAAAUAAAC